rnacentral:rRNA from 1 species
AUACGUAGGGGGCGAGCGUUGUCCGGAAUGAUUGGGCGUAAAGGGCGCGUAGGCGGCCCGGUAAGUCUGGGGUGAAAGUCCUGUUUUUAAGAUGGGAAUUGCUUUGGAUACUGUCGGGCUUGAGUGCAGGAGAGGUAAGUGGAAUUCCCAGUGUAGCGGUGAAAUGCGUAGAGAUUGGGAGGAACACCAGUGGCGAAGGCGACUUACUGGACUGUAACUGACGCUGAGGCGCGAAAGUGUGGGGAGCAAACAGGAUUAGAUACCCUGGUAGUCCACACUGUAAACGAUGAAUGCUAGGUGUAGGGGGUAUCGACCCCUUCUGUGCCGCAGUCAACACAAUAAGCAUUCCGCCUGGGGAGUACGGCCGCAAGGUUGAAACUCAAAUGAAUUGGCGGGG